rnacentral:rRNA from 1 species
AUGGAACGCCGAUGUACUAUCACACCAAGGGACCUAGAGUGGAUGCUAUGUGAUGAAACGGCAGAGCCGAAGGCCCUGUCACUCUCACUUCUGGAAGAUAUCACACAUAGUUUCUCUGAUGAGCAGCGAAUUGGCAGCGGUGGAUUUGUGGUGGUCUAUAUGGGAAAGCUUGAGAAUAGGAUUGUUGCCGUGAAGAAGAUGUCCAAUACAUAUAUGCAUGAGAAGGAAUUCCAGCAAGAAGUUGAAUGUCUCAUGAUGGUGAAGCACAAAAAUAUAGUACGGUUUCUCGGUUAUUGUGCCGACACGCAAGGUAGUGUGGAAAGGUACAAAGGAAAAUUCGUCAUGGCGGAUGUACAAGAAAGGUUACUCUGCUUUGAGUAUCUUCCUAGAGGAAGUCUUCAUGAGUAUAUCACUGAUACAUCUUACGGACUUCAGUGGAGGGACCGCUACCAAAUUAUCACAGGAAUUUGCCAGGGGUUGCAUCAUCUUCAUCAGAAUAAAAUUGUCCACUUAGAUCUGAAGCCAGCAAAUAUACUGCUGGAUGAUAAUUUUGUCCCAAAAAUUGCGGAUUUUGGUCUAUCGAAGUACUUUGCUGAAAUGCAAAGCCAGGUUAUUACUUCCAGAGGUGGAACAUUUGGAUAUAUGGCACCAGAAUUUUGUAACCAUACUGAAAUCACAUACCGUCAUUCGUAUCGGCUUGAUAUCUACAGCCUUGGAGUUAUAAUCAUUGAAAUACUCACCGGAAAGAAGGGCUAUCACGCUGUUGACAAUGUCGUUAAAAGUUGGAGUAACAUGUUGGAGAAAUCACAGAGCAAUGUACAACUGGACCAGGUACGAGUAUGUGCUGAGAUAGGAAUAGAGUGUGUCGACUUCAACCCACAGAAGAGACCAGAUACACAACAUAUAAUCAGUAGACUCGAUGAAACAGAAACUAUGGGCGGAUAUAUCAAAACUGGCAUGGUUACUUCACAACAGGUAAAUAACUUCCGGGACAUCCAUGACAUCCCUCCCAGAAAAAUCUUUUGA